rnacentral:rRNA from 1 species
GGAGUUUGGACCGUCUCUCAGUUCCAAUGUGGCCGAUCACCCUCUCAGGUCGGCUACCCAUCGUCGGUUUGGUGGGCUUUUACCCCGCCAACUGCCUAAUGGGACGCGAGUCCAUCUUCUGCCGGAUUUCUCCUUUGACCUCUCUGCCAUGCGGCAUGUGGUCUUAUGCGGUAUUACCGUCCCUUUCGAAACGCUAUCCCCCUGCAAAAGCCAGUUCCUCACGCGUUACUCACCCGUCCGCCACUCGAAAUGAACAAAAGCAAGCUUUCAUCAUCCUCGUUCGACUUGCAUGUGUUAAGCACGCCGCCAGCGUCGUCCUGAGCCACGGAUCAAACUACU